rnacentral:rRNA from 1 species
UACGUAGGUGGCGAGCGUUGUCCGGAUUUACUGGGCGUAAAGGGAGCGUAGGCGGACUUUUAAGUGAGAUGUGAAAUACUCGGGCUCAACUUGAGUGCUGCAUUUCAAACUGGAAGUCUAGAGUGUAGGAGAGGAGAAUGGAAUUCCUAGUGUAGCGGUGAAAUGCGUAGAGAUUAGGAAGAACACCAGUGGCGAAGGCGAUUCUCUGGACUGUGACUGACGCUGAGGCUCGAAAGCGUGGGGAGCAAACAGG